rnacentral:rRNA from 1 species
GACGAACGCUGGCGGCGUGCCUAAUACAUGCAAGUCGAACGAAGCUGUUUUAACUGGUGCUUGCACCGACUUAAACAACUGAGUGGCGAACGGGUGAGUAACACGUGGGUAACCUGCCCCAAAGCGGGGGAUAACAUUUGGAAACAGAUGCUAAUACCGCAUAACCACAGAAACCACAUGGUUUCUGUGUCAAAGAUGGUUUCGGCUAUCACUUUGGGAUGGACCCGCGGCGUAUUAGCUAGUUGGUAAGGUAAUGGCUUACCAAGGCAAUGAUACGUAGCCGAACUGAGAGGUUAAUCGGCCACAUUGGGACUGAGACACGGCCCAAACUCCGUCGGGAGGCAGCAGUAGGGAAUCUUCCACAAUGGACGAAAGUCUGAUGGAGCAACGCCGCGUGAGUGAAGAAGGUUUUCGGAUCGUAAAACUCUGUUGUCAGAGAAGAACGUGUGCGAGAGUAACUGUUCGUGCAGUGACGGUAUCUGGCCAGAAAGCCACGGCUAACUACGUGCCAGCCGCCGCCGUAA